rnacentral:hammerhead_ribozyme from 1 species
AUCUAGCUGACGAGUCCCAAAUAGGACUAGAUGCACGUCAAACUGGAA